rnacentral:rRNA from 1 species
UACAGAGGGGGCAAGCGUUGUUCGGAAUUACUGGGCGUAAAGGGCGCGUAGGCGGCCCGCUAAGUCGAACGUGAAAUCCCCGAGCUCAACUCGGGAACUGCGUCCGAUACUGGUGGGCUUGAAUCCGGGAGAGGGAUGCGGAAUUCCAGGUGUAGCGGUGAAAUGCGUAGAUAUCUGGAGGAACACCGGUGGCGAAGGCGGCAUCCUGGACCGGUAUUGACGCUGAGGAGCGAAAGCCAGGGGAGCAAACGGG